rnacentral:rRNA from 1 species
GAUGAACGCUAGCGGGAGGCUUAACACAUGCAAGUCGAGGGGCAGCACGGGGUAGCAAAUACUCUGGUGGCGACCGGCAAACGGGUGAGUAACGCGUAUGUAACCUACCCUGUACAGGGGGAUAACCCGGAGAAAUUCGGACUAAUAUCCCAUAACAAUAUUCAGAGGCAUCUUUGGAUAUUUAAAGUUCCGGCGGUACGGGAUGGGCGUGCGUAACAUUAGCUAGUUGGUAAGGUAACGGCCUACCAAGGCUUUGAUGUUUAGGGGUCCUGAGAGGGUGGUCCCCCACACUGGUACUGAGACACGGACCAGACUCCUACGGGAGGCAGCAGUCGAGGAAUAUUGGUCAAUGGGCGCAAGCCUGAACCAGCCAUCCCGCGUGCAGGAAGACGGCGCUAUGCGUUGUAAACUGCUUUUCCAGGGAGAGAAACUUGCGCACGUGUUGCGCAAUUGACGGUACCCUGGGAAUAAGCAUCGGCUAACUCCGUG